GAUGAACGCUGGCGGCGUGCCUAAUACAUGCAAGUCGAGCGAACGGACGAGAAGCUUGCUUCUCUGAUGUUAGCGGCGGACGGGUGAGUAACACGUGGAUAACCUACUUAUAAGACUGGGAUAACUUCGGGAAACCGGAGCUAAUACCGGAUAAUAUUUUGAACCGCAUGGUUCAAAAGUGAAAGACAGUCUUGCUGUCACUUAUAGAUGGAUCCGCGCUGCAUUAGCUAGUUGGUAAGGUAACGGCUUACCAAGGCGACGAUGCGUAGCCGACCUGAGAGGAUGAUCAGCCACACUGGAACUGAGACACGGUCCAGACUCCUACGGGAGGCAGCAGUGGGGAAUCUUGCGCAAUGGGCGAAAGCCUGACGCAGCAACACCGCGUGAGUGAAGAAGGUCUUCGGGUCGUAAAGCUCUGUUAUUGGGAAAGAACAUAUGUGUAAGUAACUGUGCACAUCUUGACGGUACCUAAUCAGAAAGCAACGGCUAACUUCGUG
rnacentral:rRNA from 1 species